rnacentral:rRNA from 1 species
GCCCGCUCAGAAACUCAAGGAAUUGACGGGGCCCGCACAAGCGGUGGAGCAUGUGGUUUAAUCGAUGAUACGCGAGGAACCUUACCUGGGCUCAAAUGUAUGUUGACGUAUUCUGAAAGGGAUACUUCUUCGGACAAUAUACAAGGUGCUGCAUGGUUGUCGUCAGCUCGUGCCGUGAGGUGUCGGGUUAAGUCCCAUAACGAGCGCAACCCCUAUCAUUAGUUGCCAUCAGGUCAAGCUGGGGACUCUAAUGAAACUGCCUACGCAAGUAGUGAGGAAGGUGGGGAUGACGUCAAAUCAGCACGGCCCUUACGUCCAGGGCUACACACGUGCUACAAUGGCCGGUACAAAGGGCAGCUACCUGGUGACAGGAUGCUAAUCUCAAAAGCCGGUCUCAGUUCGGAUCGGAGUCUGCAACCCGACUCCGUGAAGCUGGAAUCGCUAGUAAUCGCGCAUCAGCCAUGGCGCGGUGAAUACGUUCCCGGGCCUU